rnacentral:rRNA from 1 species
UACGUAGGAGGCAAGCGUUGUCCGGAGUUACUGGGCGUAAAGCGCACGCAGGCGGUCCCAUUAGUCUGUAGGGACAGGGCACGGCUCAACCGUGUCAGGCUUACGGAAACUGUGGGACUUGAGGGCUUCAGAGGGAUGGGGAAUUCCGGGUGGAGUGGUGAAAUGCGUAGAGAUCCGGAAGAACACCAAAGGCGAAGGCACCAUCCUGGGGAGUCACUGACGCUCGGGUGCGAAAGCUAGGGGAGCGAACGGG